UACGUAGGGUGCGAGCGUUAAACGGAAUUACUGGGCGUAAAGCGUGCGCAGGCGGCUUUGCAAGACAGAUGUGAAAUCCCCGGGCUCAACCUGGGAACUGCAUUUGUGACUGCAAGGCUAGAGUACGGCAGAGGGGGAUGGAAUUCCGCGUGUAGCAGUGAAAUGCGUAGAUAUGCGGAGGAACACCAAUGGCGAAGGCAAUCCCCUGGGCCUGUACUGACGCUCAUGCACGAAAGCGUGGGGAGCAAACAGG
rnacentral:rRNA from 1 species